rnacentral:rRNA from 1 species
UACGUAGGGUGCAAGCGUUGUCCGGAAUUAUUGGGCGUAAAGAGCUCGUAGGCGGUCUGUCGCGUCGGAUGUGAAAAUCCAGGGCUCAACCCUGUACCUGCAUUCGAUACGGGCAGACUAGAGUUCGGCAGGGGAGACUGGAAUUCCUGGUGUAGCGGUGAAAUGCGCAGAUAUCAGGAGGAACACCGGUGGCGAAGGCGGGUCUCUGGGCCGAUACUGACGCUGAGGAGCGAAAGCGUGGGGAGCAAACAGG